CGCAACGAGCGCAACCCUUAUCCUUUGUUGCCAGCGAUUCGGUCGGGAACUCAAAGGAGACUGCCAGUGAUAAACUGGAGGAAGGUGGGGAUGACGUCAAGUCAUCAUGGCCCUUACGACCAGGGCUACACACGUGCUACAAUGGCGCAUACAAAGAGAAGCGACCUCGCGAGAGCAAGCGGACCUCAUAAAGUGCGUCGUAGUCCGGAUUGGAGUCUGCAACUCGACUCCAUGAAGUCGGAAUCGCUAGUAAUCGUGGAUCAGAAUGCCACGGUGAAUACGUUCCCGGGCCUUGUACACACCGCCCGUCACACCAUGGGAGUGGGUUGCAAAAGAAGUAGGUAGCUUAACCUUCGGGAGGGCGCUUACCACUUUGUGAUUCAUGACUGGGGUGAAGUCGUAACAAGGUAACCGUAGGGGAACCUGC
rnacentral:rRNA from 1 species